CGCCUCUCCGCAUUCAUCCGUCUUUCUCACCCUUGCACCAGCUUGUUCAGGAGGUGUUGCCAGCAUCUGCCAUUUUUGCAUAAUGCGCAAGGUGUUUGGAAAGGGAUCUGUUCUUGGAUGGUACAAAUUGCUUUUUUGACCUAGUAAUUAACUUGGGAAGACGCAAGGAAGAGCUCAGUGAUGAAGCUUUGUGGCCAGAUUUUAACAUGGCUGCAUAAAUUAUCAUUUAUGAAACCAUAAUGCCCUGUUGCAGUGUCCUGAACCCAUCAGAAGACACAGCCGUAUAAUGGAUGGGGUGUGUGCAGUGUUGCUGCACAUCUGUAGAUUAAGCAGGCAGCAUCGUGCAUGCAUACCUUCUUUUCAUGAAACAGGUUAAUCUUGAUGCAUCACCAGAGACAUUCUUACACAUGACCUCACACAAACACACACACACAGAAAGAAAGAACACAGAGUAUGCACACGUCAAGAGGUGAAACAUGCUCUGGAUAUGGCUGAUUUGACUCUGGAAACAUUCCAGAUUGUCUUUGGAGCAGCUGUCAUUAGAGAAAUGUAAAAACAGGAAUGCAGUUAGAAGUGUCAGAUCGAUGAUUCAUCCCCGUCCAUUACAGUGUUCCACAGUGCACAGAGACAUGGCUACAUGCUGCGAACCCCAUCUGCAUGCUCGACCCACUACACUGGAACACACCUGACACCCACAACACGCGCGGGAUCAAUAGUCGGCCGCUGUGAAGAGUGUGACCACCGAAUGACGAGCCAUGUGAAGAAUAUGACCAUCAACGCACCACAGCCUGCCCUCUCCUGUUCUCUUCUUCUCUGCCUCUCUUUCUCUGACUCAGAAUCUCCGAUUUGCUUCCUACUGCAACAAAAUGUUUUUCAUAAUCAAUGGUUUGUCUUAAAAUAUCUCAACAUCCUUAAAACAAUAUAUACCUACCUGUACAUUAUAAGCAAAAUUGCAUAUAUUUCACAAAAAUAUAUACAGUACAUUAGGCAUGUUUUCACAAAAUGUAUUUGUAUAUCAAACAUAAAAAACAAGUCCUAUAUAUAA
ensembl:lncRNA